AUUGAACGCUGGCGGCAUGCCUUACACAUGCAAGUCGAACGGUAACAGGUCUUCGGAUGCUGACGAGUGGCGAACGGGUGAGUAAUAUAUCGGAACGUGCCCAGUAGUGGGGGAUAGCCCGGCGAAAGCCGGAUUAAUACCGCAUACGACCUGAGGGUGAAAGGGGGGGAUUCGCAAGAACCUCUCGCUAUUGGAGCGGCCGAUAUCAGAUUAGGUAGUUGGUGGGGUAAAGGCCUACCAAGCCUGCGAUCUGUAGUUGGUCUGAGAGGACGACCAGCCACACUGGGACUGAGACACGGCCCAGACUCCUACGGGAGGCAGCAGUGGGGAAUUUUGGACAAUGGGCGCAAGCCUGAUCCAGCAAUGCCGCGUGCAGGAAGUAGGCCUUCGGGUUGUAAACUGCUUUUGUCAGGGAAGAAAUCCUCUGGGUUAAUACCUCGGGGGGAUGACGGUACCUGAAGAAUAAGCACCGGCUAACUACGUGCCAGCCGCCGCCGUAAGAC
rnacentral:rRNA from 1 species